GUUUUGGAGUGCAGGCGUGAAUAGUCCUUUCUGUCCUGCUUUGAGUACUGCUGUUGGGUGCCUUGGGGGGACCUUAAGGGAGCUCGGAAGUUGAGACGUGGUGAGUGCGAGAUCACUGCCCACAAAGGGGAGGAGCAGGCGGAUGAACAGCCAGAGCUGCAAUGGUGGAUCCUCCUCCAGGGCUGCAUGGGACGACAGAUAGAUGAGGCUCUAGGACGGGCACAAAUGCUACCCGAAUGCAAACCACUCCGGAGAUCUGUAAAAGGACUGGCCCCGGACAGGAAGCACACUUUAAACUAGAGGCGGGGUAAGACUCGUGGGCCAAUCAAGGCUUCCGAACAGAACUGCCAUUCUGGCAAUGAGGCGGGGUCUUCCGGUUGCCUGCUGGAAGUUUGUUUUUGCUCUGCAGGAUUGAAGGGUUCUCCCUAUGCUGCUUUGAGCGCUGCUAUUGGGUGCCUUGAGGGGACCUCAAGUAAGCUCCAUUUUUGAAACAUGAGUCAAAGCCCCGGUGAAGAUUCUGUGACGGUUCAUUGUAUAAUUUAUGAUGAUGAAGAUUGAGUUGCAUUUUGCGGAAAAGAGAUGUUGAGAUAUCUAAGGCAUUGAGAAAUCUGUCAUGCAGACAUGCACACAGGGAGAGGGAGUACCCAAACUGAUGAGAACUUACAGGAAUUGGACCAUCUAAGCCCUUAGAAAGUGAAGUCCACUGUGUCUCAAACAAAGAUCUUCAUCCACAUCUUGAAGUUUGAAGUUUGGCCAAGAAUAUACAGAGUAGAUUCUCUUUCUCAGGAUGGCAAGUGUUCAUGACAUCAAUACUACCCAAGGCUUCAGAGUCAUUGGAUUGCAGGAUUAUGCUUUGUGUUGUCCAAAUCUAUGGGAUAUUUUAGGAUGCAGUAACUUAUGAUGAUGUGCGUGUGAACUUCACUGAGGAAGAGUGGGAUUUGCUGGAUCCUUCCCAGAAAAGUCUCUAUGAAGAGGUGAUGCUGGAGACCUACCAGAACAUCACUGCUAUAGGUAA
rnacentral:lncRNA from 1 species